UACGAAGGGGGCUAGCGUUGCUCGGAAUCACUGGGCGUAAAGCGCACGUAGGCGGACUCUUAAGUCGGUGGUGAAAUCCUGGAGCUCAACUCCAGAACUGCCUUCGAUACUGGGAGUCUCGAGUCCGAGAGAGGUGAGUGGAACUGCGAGUGUAGAGGUGAAAUUCGUAGAUAUUCGCAAGAACACCAGUGGCGAAGGUGGCUCACUGGCUCGGUACUGACGCUGAGGUGCGAAAGCGUGGGGAGCAAACAGG
rnacentral:rRNA from 1 species